UAGAUAAAAAUAAUAUCAAGAGAUAAAAAUUGACUUAAAUUAAUCUUAAUUCAUUUUUAUAUCAAGUUGAACACUGAAGUUAAAAAUUACAUCAGAGCUGCAUUUCGUUCACAUUCUAUAAAAAAUCAGACGAAAUCGUCUAACGUUAUUUUUUAAUAUUAUUUUCUCCCUUAAACAUUUUAAGCAUUAUUUGACAAAGAUCCAAACUUUUAUUUUUAAAAUGCGUUCCACCCGAUUAUGUUCAUCAUCUUUCUCUUUCCAUCCCUCAUCCGGAUACUGUUUAUCGUCUUCCUCUCUGCGGCCCCACGAUCUUCUCUGAAUCAAACUUUGCUUCAUCUUCUUGAUCAACCCGGGUACUGGGAGAUUGUUCAUCGUCUUGAACAGGGAGAGAGGGAGGGGAAAGAGCCGAACCUCGGAGCACAGCCCCACAGCCGAGGCACUGGGAGGGGAAGCGAGCUCAGUUCAAACAAGGACAAAAAGGGGUCCCCUUUCCAGCGAUAGGGGAAGUAUAGAAGAGAGUCAAAUCACGGGUGAGCAUUCCUCAUCAGAGGCCCAAAAGAAACGUGCAGCUGCUACUGAAAAGGGAACAAUCAGAGAGAGCUUAUAUGGAAAAAUCUGAGCUUUGGGGGUUUUCUUUCGUUGACGGGUGGAGGGGCUCUGCAGAGGAGAGGGAAAGUGUGUGAAAGGAAGAGUAGGAGACGAUGACGACAUUCUCAUUAUUGACGCGUGAAGGGCGGCUCCUUUAAAGUCACCAGAGCCUUCGGUGUUGGGUUUCUAAAGAAGGUAGAAUUACAUUUUCAGUGCCGUCCUCUACCCAAUUUCAUGAAUAAUGGAUUGAUGCAGUGAAAGAGCAUUUAUUCGUAGUCAGAAAGUAGAAUUUAAUCAGCUCUAAUGGAGAAAUUCCAGAACAUGUUAUGGUUGUAGAAGUUUUGAUCAGUAGGCUUACUACUAUAACUUGUAAUUCGACCUUGGAUUGGCUUGGUGCAAGCCUACGAAAACUCUGAGUCAUUGUCUUCCAAUGAACCGUAUUAGAAGAUUGGGAAUGAGAUUCUUCAUUGAACUUCCA